CUCCCCAUAUUUCCCACUUUUAAAAUUUAACUGCUUGUUCUAUUAAUUUCCGUCGUGCAUCUUUUUUAGCCCUAAAUCUGUUUCCGUCCCCAAUAAUCGAAUGCGAUGGACAACUUGUGAGGUUUGGAUGAUUCUCUAAGGUGAUUUGAUCGUAGUCGCUCACCGCUAUAGCCGCUACCACUUUGAGCGAUGGAUGAUUCUCUCUCUAUCUCUUCUUGUCCACGCACUAACAUCGCAUCCCCGAAGGAAAAUUCUAUGGUUCCGAUUGCAAGUAUGGAUUGAAGACGCCCAUUUGGUUUGAAAGUAUGAAGACAUCGGUUCCGGAAAUUGUAUAUCACUUUUAUCUUUAGAGUUAUAUGCAUUUGUGUUACUUUAAAACUUUUGUAAUACUAGGUAUUUCAACCGCGCGUUGCGGCGGAGAAAAUUUUCCUUCUCGGAGGAAAAUAAGGUUGAAUAGGCAGAGUGGAUGUCAUUCUCUUGAUGUAGAAUAACUUUAGAUUACAAAAAUUAUAAACCACUCUUUUGACGCA